UCAAUAAGCGGAGGAAAAGAAACUAACAAGGAUUCCCCUAGUAACGGCGAGUGAAGCGGGAAGAGCUCAAAUUUGUAAUCUGGCACUUUCAGUGUCCGAGUUGUAAUCUCGAGAAGUGUUUUCCGCGCCGGACCGCAUACAAGUCUGUUGGAAUACAGCGUCAUAGUGGUGAGAACCCCGUAACUGAUGCGGAUGCCCGGUGCUUUGUGAUACACUUUCGAAGAGUCGAGUUGUUUGGGAAUGCAGCUCAAAUUGGGUGGUAAAUUCCAUCUAAAGCUAAAUAUUGGCGAGAGACCGAUAGCGAACAAGUACCGUGAGGGAAAGAUGAAAAGCACUUUGGAAAGAGAGUUAACAGUACGUGAAAUUGUUGGAAGGGAAACGAUUGAAGUCAGACUUGUUAUCUGGAGUUCAGCCUUUCGGUGUACUCUCCAGUUUACAGGCCAGCAUCAGUUUUCGGGGCGGGAAAAUCGUAAUUAGAAGGUAGCAGCCUAGCUGUGUUAUAGCUCUUUACUGGAUUCCGCUUUGGGGACUGAGGAACGCAGUGUGCUUUUAGCAAUACCCUCGGGUAUUUCACACUUAGGAUGCUGGUGGAAUGGCUUUAAACGACCC
rnacentral:rRNA from 1 species